GUGUUAGAAGACGGUAAUGCAACAACAUGCCUCCAUGCCUAAGUUUUGCCAUGUCAACAACGCUGCCAGUGUUAGCGUGCUAAAGAAAGUCUCUUCAGGAUUACGAUGUUUAGGCUAGCAUGGCGUCACUCGGUGUGUAGAGACAGCUUUGCGUUGACCACGCGCUCUUUGGCUGCAGCGUUGUUGGGACCGGAGCGUUCGCAGCAGGGUCCUCUUCGCAGCCUCAUCUCCAACCCACUGAGCGAUAGGUCACCGGUCCUCCAGCCGCAGCCGGCCCGCUACCUCAGUCCACCUGUUUGUAGGAGCAUGGCGUCAGGAGGUGAGCAGGAGUCCACUUGUCAUAAACACACCAACAGGUUGGCCAAAGAGAGAUCGCCCUACCUCCUACAGCAUGCACAUAACCCUGUUGACUGGUAUCCAUGGGGACAAGAGGCUUUUGAGAAGGCAAAGACUGAAGACAAACCAAUUUUUUUAUCAGUGGGCUACUCCACGUGCCACUGGUGCCACGUCAUGGAGAGGGAGUCUUUCCAGGAUGAAGAAAUUGGUAAAAUCCUUAGUGACAACUUCAUCUGCAUCAAACUCGACAGAGAAGAGAGACCUGAUGUGGACAAAGUCUACAUGACGUUUGUACAGGCAACAAGCGGAGGUGGAGGCUGGCCCAUGAGUGUGUGGUUGACUCCUGAGCUGAAACCUUUUAUUGGAGGCACUUACUUCCCACCCAGAGACCAAGGAAGACGACCCGGUUUCAGGACAGUCCUGAUGAGAAUCAUAGAACAGUGGCAGAACAACCGGGCUGCUUUGGAGUCCAGUGGGGAAAGGAUCCUCGUUGCUCUGAGGAAAGGCACGAGCAUCAGUGCCAACCCAGGAGGAAGUCCUCCUCUUGCCCCUGAUGUAGCUAAUCGCUGCUUCCAGCAGUUGGCUCACUCCUAUGAAGAGGAGUAUGGAGGCUUCAGGAAUGCUCCAAAGUUCCCCUCACCAGUGAAUCUGAUGUUCCUCAUGUCCUACUGGUCUGUGAAUCGCUCAACAUCAGAAGGGGUGGAAGCGCUCCAGAUGGCCAUGCACACACUCAGAAUGAUGGCACUGGGAGGCAUCCAUGACCACGUGGCACAGGGCUUUCAUCGAUAUUCCACGGAUUCCUCGUGGCACGUUCCUCACUUUGAGAAGAUGUUGUAUGACCAGGCUCAGCUGGCUGUGGCUUACAUAACUGCUUUCCAGGUGGCAGGCGAGCAGUUCUAUGCAGAUGUGGCAAAGAACAUACUGCUGUAUGUCUCCAGGGACCUGAGCGACAAGUCUGGAGGCUUCUACAGUGCAGAGGAUGCUGACUCUGUUCCAGCAUCAGGGGGGCCAGACAAGCGGGAAGGAGCGUUUUGUGUCAGGACACCGUCAGAAGUUCGGGAGCUCUUGUCCGAUGUGGCAGAGGGCUCCACUGGAGGCGCCACGCAGGCAGACAUCUUUAUGCACCACUAUGGGGUCAAGGAGCAAGGCAAUGUUGCUCCAGAGCAAGACCCUCACGGGGAGCUGCAGGGCCAGAAUGUGCUGAUUGUUCGUUACUCAGUUGAGCUCACAGCUGCUCGAUUUGGCAUCACGGUUGAGAAGGUCAACCACCUCUUGGCCUCUGCCAGAGCCAAAAUGGCAGACAUGAGGAUAACUCGGCCACGCCCACACCUGGACACCAAGAUGCUGGCCUCCUGGAACGGCCUGAUGCUGUCGGCCUUCGCUCGGGUCGGAGCGGUGCUGGGGGACGAGGCCUUACUGGAGAGAGCGAAGCAGGCAGGAAACUUCCUGAAGGAGCACCUGUGGGACUCUGAGACGCAGACCAUCCUCCGAUCUUGUUAUGGUGGUGAACAGCAUGAGUUGCAACAAAUGUCUCCUUCCAUCUCUGGCUUCCUGGAUGAUUAUGCCUUCAUUAUCUGUGGCUUGCUGGACCUCUAUGAGGCCACGUUUCAAACAGAGUGGUUGCAAUGGGCUGAGGAGCUGCAGCUCAGGCAGGACUUGUUGUUUUGGGAUGACCAGGGUGGAGGCUACUUCUGCAGUGAUCCCAGUGACAGCACCAUUCUGCUGCAGCUGAAAGAAGAUCAGGAUGGAGCGGAGCCCAGUGCAAACUCUGUGUCAGCAUCCAACCUUCUCCGUCUGUCCCACUACACUGGAAACCAGGAGUGGCUCCAGAAGUCCCAGCAGCUUCUGACGGCAUUUUCGGAUCGACUCGCCAGGGUCCCCAUAGCCCUGCCUGAAAUGGUUCGGGCCCUCAUGGCCCAACACUACACACUUAAACAGAUUGUGAUAUGUGGCCAGAGGGACGACUCAGAUACCGCCGGUCUUCUAGCUGCUAUCAACUCACUCUACCUCCCGUUUAAGAUACUUAAAGUAUUUGACCACAUUACUUUCAAAGCUACUGUUGGGUAACUACAGAUUUGUUAUAUUUUACAAGAACGUUGCGCUCUAUGAUGUCAACACCAAAACUGCCAAAAGAAAGGCGGCCCAAAACGAUCUCCUAACACAUGGAUUUUCUGCUUCCUGGUCACGUGGCGUGUGACGUAUGCAGAUGAAGAUCGGCUUUAGAGCUGGGAUGUUUUUUCUCACGGUUUUGAUGCUCACUGAUGGAAGCCCGGAGAGCUUCCUGUGCCAGCGCCUGCCCGUCCUCUCCUCCAUGUUCCAGUUGGAUGGUGUCGCCACAGCCCACGUCUGCCAGGACUUCACGUGCUCUCUCCCCGUUACAGACCCACAGGAACUCCGUCGGCUCCUUCUGGAUGGAGCCACAGACAGCUAGAAGGGCACCUGAACUCUUAAUGGUUUAUGCUAUUUCUGGCUGUUUCUGUUAUUGAACCCAAAAGCUUUUAAAGCUCAAUCAGCUGUAUUGAUUGGAGUAGGUCCAUCCUUCCUCAAGUUGUCCCAGAUCUGUUACUACAGCCUUUAUUAGCAGCUAAAUAUUACCUCAGAGUCUUUUUAACAUCAGGGUUGUGAGAAUGUUUAUUGUUGAGUUCAUAUUGAUGUUCAGGUGAGUAAGCUAGCAGCAGAAAGGAGCAACACCUGUACAACAUGGCUGUUAGCUCAGAAGAAAAGCUCCGAUUCUUGAGAGGACGUGUUGUAGGAACACUUCUGUGACCUGCUGCCGCGCUCAUCCUCGCGUCACGUGGAUCUAACUUUCUGCCUGAGACCUCAAAAGACGUCAGCACGUUUCUAUUGAGCCAUUUGUGUAAACCAAUCACAGCGAACGAGCAGCUUUUUGCCACCAGCUCUUUGUUUAUUCGGUUUAAUUCAUCACAAUGCAAAAGAAGACCCCGUCGUGCAUAAAGAGCACUUAGCAUGCAUUCUCUGAAUAUUAGAUUAUGCUCUCUUAGAGACCUGUCUGAACUGCUUAAAGCUGUGGAACCAAUCAGAAACUGCAGAAGGGAGAUGCCGAAGUGUUGUUUCCAUAUAUAAACAUCAUCUCACUUGAAUCAUUCAAUAAGUAGUGCUGAAGGUUUUAGGAAGUCUAACUUGAUGAGGCUAAAUGACUUCCUGUUUGAGAUUCUGAUAUCAGCUCUGGUCUGUCCACCUCAAAUUCGUUUUGAUGAUCAGGAUCAACCCAGGAACCACCGAGACUUAACUCUGGAACCUGCAGGACCACCCGUGUCUCUGUCCACUAUGAAACCAGUUUUAUGUCAACAUGGACUCAGGACCAAGACAGAAGCUCCUGCUCCAAAAGAUGCACCUUCAUGCUGGACUGGACUUUUUGUCCACAAUGACAAGACGUCUGCUUAGAGGAGUCAAGUCCUCAGAAAGCCAAACCAGCUGUCAAGCAUGGAUGCUGAUGCUCCAUGACGGGAUGUGGUUCUGGUGCACAAACAGGAUGGAAGACCAUACCUCCAGGUGCCUCAGCUCCACCUGAGAUCAUCAGCUGGAUGGUUCAAACUUGGACCCAGUUGGGUGUUCCAACAGGACCAGUGGCGUGUCUAGAUCUAUUAAAAUGGGGUGGCCCAGGUGAGGCACAACUUUGUGCAUGGGUGGCACCAAUGGUUAUGCUUUUUUUUUUUUACCCCCAAGCCUUUUGGAGACAAUGAAAAGUCUAUUUAAAGGUAAAUUAGUGUGGUGGUACCUGGGGUGGCCAAUCAGAUUCCAAGGGUGGCAUGUGCUACCCCUGGACACGCCCCUGAACAGGACGAUGUCCCUAAACACACAUCAGAGCUGGAUUCUGAUUGGAUAAAACAGGCUGUCAUGAACCUUCUGAAAUCACAAAGACCCAAAAACCUCAAUUCUGUUGGAAAUCUGCCAACCAUGACAUCACCAGCUGGCGUCAGCGCUCAGUCAUCCACCAACAAGAAGUCCGACCUAGCAGAUGUAAAGCAGAAGGGUGUUGGUGGAUAGAAAACAGAACUACAGAAUUCUCCAAACCCAACUUCAGUAAGCAGCAUUUAUGUAUGUGUGAGCCUGUCUGAAUGCAUCCCAGCACCUUUCCCUUUGUUUCUGGUGCUUUCCGAGUGAAUUUCUGUAGCAGUUUCUCACCUUUUAUGACCAAAUAAAGGUAAGACCAAUUAUGCCUGGGGAUGAGAGUGGGCAUGAGGA